rnacentral:lncRNA from 1 species
AUGCAUUCGGAUAUUAAAUUAGAGGUGACUGUGGGAAUAAAGAUGAAGCUGGAGAGCAGGAGGUGGUGGAGUAAUGUCUUAUGCCUGGUGAUAAAUGAAAAUGCUGAAUUUCCACAGAGACAUCCUAUGAAGGACUCAGCUGGAAAAUAUUCAGUGGUGCUGCUGACAGCAAAGCUGCAAGGUUCCCAUCACAAUCAUCAGAACUCCAUGCCCACGAGGAGGAUGAGCUUGGAAGAGACAGGUCAAGGAUCGCCCUCCCGCCCUGCCCAAGGGGACCCUCCCAGAGUAGCCUCCUGCGCGACUGCGACCGCGCGGCACCCCAAGGUCACGACGAAAAGCUCAUCUCUGUACCUAAAAUGCAGCAGGACCAACGACUCAGAGCGCAGGAUGUGUAUUCACAAUGCAAUCAUUAACAGCCAUUAAUCCUGGGCCCUGUGCGUCUGUUUAGGAUUUGACAACACUCUUCAGAAACCAGUCACG